UCAACAUCAUAAACCACCACUCUGCCAGUGUAGUUGGAUCUUGGUGCACCAGCAACAAAAUAGAUGGAGCUCAUAGUUGAGAGAACAGCAACAGAAUAACCUGGGGUAGAAGCCAACAUUUAACAUGUGUGAGAGACCAUUAAUUACAAUUCAUCAGUUGGUUAUCCAUAAAGGGCAGAAGAUGAGUCAGUCUGUUGGAGCCAUCAUGUGAUUCGCCGUCUGUCACAACAACCAUCACUUUUGUGGCUGCUGGACGUCCUCCCGAUUCAGGAUUCUGCCUGCCACUGGGAACCUACUCAGAGGCCCUGAGCAAAUUGUCUCCUGGUGGGAAUGAAAUUCAGGAUGUUCUCCUUGCUGUUUAAGGUCGCACACAGGCAACACCUCAGAUCAGAAGGCUUUGCCAGAAUGAGGACUCAGAAGAAGUGUAUGCAGGUUUGCAGCCUGGACUGGUGCAAUGCCUCUGAAUACAGAGGAGCAAGACCAUAUUCAUAUUUGCAUUGGGUCAUGAUUUUUCAGUCCUUAUGUAUCUAUCACAGGACUUUGCUUUUGGCACAUACAUUUUUUAAGAAAUCAAAAUCAACUGUCCCCAACACAAUGUAGCUUAACUUAAUUUGAUAUGGGUUUUUGGUUGGGUAUUUUUUUGGUUGGUUUCUUGGUGGGGUUUUUUUGUUUGUUUGUUUGGUUGGGGUUUUUUAAUUUUAUUUUUUUUGUUUUGUUUUGUUUUAAUU